UAACGUAAANACCCCCAGGUUAUUAACCUUAUCGCCUUUCUCCCCGCUGAAAGUGCUUUACAACCCGAAGGCCUUCUUCACACACGCGGCAUGGCUGGAUGAGGCUUGCGCCCAUUGUGCAAUGUUCCCCACUGCUGGCGUCCCG
rnacentral:rRNA from 1 species